GAUGAACGUUGGCGGCGUGCCUAAUACAUGCAAGUCGAACGAAGACUGUAGUAAUACUGUCUUAGUGGCGAACGGGUGAGUAACGCGUGGGUGACCUGCCCCGAAGUGUGGGAUAACAGUUCGAAAGGAUUGCUAAUACUGCAUAAUAUCCAAGAGAUUAGACGCUUUUGGAUUAAAGGAGUAAUUCGCUUCGGGAGGGGCCCGCGUCCCAUCAGCUAGUUGGUAAGGUAAUGGCUUACCAAGGCGAUGACGGGUAGGGGACCUGAGAGGGUGGCCCCCCAAAUGGAACUGAAACACGGUCCAUACACCUACGGGUGGCAGCAGUAGGGAAUAUUAGUAAUGGGCGAAAGCCUGAACUAGCAACGCCGCGUGUGCGAAGAAGGCCUUCGGGUUGUAAAGCACUUUUUGAGAGGAUGAGGAAGGACGGUACUCUCAGAAUAAGUCUCGGCUAACUACGUG
rnacentral:rRNA from 1 species